rnacentral:rRNA from 1 species
UACGAAGGGGGCUAGCGUUGCUCGGAAUGACUGGGCGUAAAGGGUGCGUAGGCGGGUCUUUUAAGUCAGGGGUGAAAUCCUGGAGCUCAACUCCAGAACUGCCUUUGAUACUGAAGAUCUUGAGUUCGGGAGAGGUGAGUGGAACUGCGAGUGUAGAGGUGAAAUUCGUAGAUAUUCGCAAGAACACCAGUGGCGAAGGCGGCUCACUGGCCCGAUACUGACGCUGAGGCACGAAAGCGUGGGGAGCAAACAGG